rnacentral:rRNA from 1 species
CCUACGGGCGGCAGCAGUGGGGAAUUUUGCGCAAUGCUCGUAAGAGUGACGCAGCGACGCCGCGUGAAUGACGAAGGCCUUCGGGUCGUAAAGUUCUUUCGACAGGGAAGAAAAUGCAUAUAAGUAACUGUGUCUGUAUUGACGGUACCUGUAUAAGCAGCCCCGGCUAACUCCGUGCCAGCAGCCGCGGUAAUACGGAGGGGGCGUGCGUUGUUCGGAGUGACUGGGCGUAAAGAGCACGUAGGCGGUGUUGUAAGUCAUUAGUCAAAGAGUAGAGCUCAACUUUAGGAAGGCUAGUGAUACUAUAAUACUAGAGUAUCAGAGAGGAGUGUAGAAUUCCUGGUGUAGCGGUGAAAUGCGUAGAUAUCAGGAGGAAUACCGUUAGCGAAGGCGGCAAUCUGGCUGGAAACUGACGCUGAGGUGCGAAAGCGUGGGUAGCAAACAGGAUUAGAUACCCGGGUAGUC